GUACACGCUGUGACUAGCAUAUCAAUAAGCGGAGGAAAAGAAACUAACAAGGAUUCCCCUAGUAACGGCGAGUGAAGCGGGAAGAGCUCAAAUUUGAAAUCUUAAAGGGUUUCCCUUUACGAAUUGUAGUUUAAAGAAGUGUUUUCUGUUGAGGUUUUGGUAAAAGUUCUUUGGAAUAGGACAUCAUAGAGGGUGAGAAUCCCGUAUUUGACCUUUACUUUCAACUUUGUGAUACACUUUCAAAGAGUCGGAUUGUUUGGGAAUGCAGUCCAAAAUGGGUGGUAAAUUUCAUCUAAAGCUAAAUAUUGGCGAGAGACCGAUAGCGAACAAGUACCGUGAGGGAAAGAUGAAAAGAACUUUGAAAAGAGAGUUAAACAGUACGUGAAAUUGUCAAAAGGGAAGCGUUCGACACCAGUGUUGUUUUUCUGAAAAUCAAUUAAAGAACUGUUUAUGCUAAGUUGUUUAGACUUUAUCAGCUAUCUGUUUAGUUUUGAGCUUUUCUUUAAUGCACUUUUCAGUUAACAAGUCAACAUCAAUUUCUUUUGCUGUAAAAAAGCUUGAGGAAGGUGGCUUGAGAUUCGUCUUAAGUGUUUAUAGCCUCUUGCCUAUGCAGUCGGAGAGAUUGAGGUCUGCAGCGUAGAUCCUUCGGGGCUAAAUGCAUUUGUGCUAAGUUAUAACAUUUCAUAGACAACUUGUUGACUAUGAUUUGUCUUGUAGCUUACUCGCUUAUGUUAUUUUACCUACGCUUAGGAUGUUGACGAGACUGUCGAUCUC
rnacentral:rRNA from 1 species